CUACGGGCUGCACCAGUGGGGAAUAUUGGACAAUGGGGGAAACCCUGAUCCAGCAAUGCCGCGUGGAGGAUGACGCAUUUCGGUGUGUAAACUCCUUUUAUAUGUCAAGAAAAUGACGGUAGCAUAUGAAUAAGCACCGGCUAACUCCGUGCCAGCAGCCGCGGUAAUACGGAGGGUGCAAGCGUUACUCGGAAUCACUGGGCGUAAGGACGCGUAGGCGGGUUGGAAAGUCAGGUGUGAAAUCCUACAGCUUAACUGUAGAACUGCACUUGAAACUUCUAAUCUAGAGUAUGGGAGGGGGAGAUGGAAUUAGUGGUGUAGGGGUAAAAUCCGUAGAUAUCACUAGGAAUACCUAAAGCGAAGGCGAUCUCCUGGAACAUUACUGACGCUAAGGCGUGAAAGCGUGGGGAGCAAACAGGAUUAGAUACCCGCGUAGUC
rnacentral:rRNA from 1 species